AUGAAUGGUUUGACGAGGGAACAGCUGUCUCAAUUUAAUUUUAUUAGAAUUUUAUCUUUAAGUUAGAAAGCUUAAAUAAUUUUAAAAGACGAGAAGACCCUAUAGAAUUUUAUAAAUUAACUUAGUUGAUACUUUUUAGUAUAUUUAGGGUUGGCUAGGUUAAUUUAUUUUGUUGGGGUGACAGAAAAAUUAGAAAAACUUUUUUUAUUUGAAACAAUUAUAUUUGAUUAAAUGAUCCGUUUAGACGAUUACAAGAUUAAAUUACCUUAGGGAUAACAGCG
rnacentral:rRNA from 1 species